ACUCUCACUAUGCCCCCGUAACAGAGUCAGUUUUUAGGCGGAGGGUGAGAAUGGCUUGAAAAUUUGCUGAAUGCUAUCCAUCUCCCAGCCCCCAGAGAAAAGGGCUUUAGUUCCUCCCCCUGCCUGUGAAGUCUGCAGGCCAGAUUCGCGCCCUCCCCUGAGUUCUGGCCAGGAGGCUUCUUGCCCUGUUCAAAUGGUUACAAAGUUCAGCUAGAGAAUUCCUUCUCCCUGUAGAGUUUUACCCCCUGCUCCUCUGGCCGCCCUCCGGAUGGAUCUUUGUGUUGCCAGGCAGGAAUGGGCUGCUUGGGGACCCAGUGAGCUCCGAGGGCCUUUCUGCUGCUUCCUGUACCCCUGUAUUUCGCUCAGCUCUCUGACUUGACUCAGCUCCAGAAAUAUUCUUUCAUUAAUAUUACAUGCUUAUGGAACUUUACCUAUUGAUUAAAGACAUCUACCCCUGGAGAAAGAGCCCAAUGAGAAGUAAUCUCUGAAGCCCAGAUUUCCUAAGGAUGAAGCUUCAGGAGAGGCCUUAUCAAUCCUGACAACAAACUUUUCUCGUCAAUUUAGUUUCAUUUAAUGGAAGUUUUAAAUGUGUAAAGUUCAGAAGGCUAUUAAAAUUGGUUCCAGCUAUCUAAGAUACACACACAACCACACACGCGCACACACGGUAGAGAUAAAUAUGUUCGAAAAUCCAGCUCAAUGUUACUAGAAAAUUUGAUCAGAAUCUGGUGAAAUAAAUAGUAAACUUACUAAAAAUGCCAAAUAUCCCAGAAGCUGCUUAACAUUUGAUCAAAAGCUCUGUCCAGUCAAUUCCUGCUUCUUUCAAAAAUACUCUGCUGAAAAGCCAAAGGAGAAAUGGGGCUGGUACCUUCAAUAUAGAGAAUUCCAAGUAAGAUUAGAUCCCAGAAGGCUUAGUGUGGCUUUCUAGGACUCUCACUAUUAGGCAGUAACCUACCAUUCACCUCUGUUUCCCAGAUUCACCUUGUUAUACCUUAUAACUUAAAAUAUAAAUUCCAACAAUGUACUGCACUCAAAAAAAUUAUUUCUCAAUUUGUUUGCUCAUACUAUUGAUUUUUUUCUAGAAUCUAAAUAAUUGUGAAUUAACUAUGAUAGCAGUAUGCACAAACAGUAAGUGAAA
rnacentral:lncRNA from 1 species